UACGUAGGGGGCAAGCGUUGUCCGGAUUUACUGGGCGUAAAGCGCCUGUAGGCGGCCUGUCAAGUCCGGCCUGAAAGCCCCCGGCUCAACCGGGGAACGGCGCGGGAAACUAGCAGGCUUGAGUUCGGGAGAGGAAGGCGAAUUCGGGUGUAGCGGUGAAAUGCGCAGAUAUCCGGAGGAACACCGGUGGCGAAGGCGGCUUCCUGGACCGACACUGACGCUGAGGCGCGAAAGCUAGGGAGCAAACGGG
rnacentral:rRNA from 1 species